CAGUCGUGAGAUUCGACGGCGCCUGUUUUUGUCGUGAACAAGAUGAAGCCAAGUGGUGGAGGUCUGAAGGGGUGAUGAUGUGCAAUUCACUCCUCUGAUUCGCGUUUCGUAGUGAAAA
rnacentral:rRNA from 1 species